UGGUCGGGAUAGCUCAGCUGGUAGAGCAGAGGACUGAAAACU
rnacentral:tRNA from 1 species